rnacentral:tRNA from 1 species
ACCUGGGUAGCUCAGUUGGUAGAGCAUGUGACUCUUGAUCUUGGGGUCAUGAGUUCAAGCCCCAUGUUGGGUG